UACGGGGGGGCAAGCGUUGUUCGGAAUUACUGGGCGUAAAGCGCGUGUAGGCGGCUCUUCAAGUCGAGUGUGAAAGCUCCAGGCUUAACCUGGGAACUGCGCUCGAUACUGUUGAGCUAGAGUGUGGAAGGGGCUACUGGAAUUCCGUGUGUAGCGGUGAAAUGCUUAGAGAUUACAUGGAAUACCAAUUGCGAAGGCAGGUUACUACCAGUGGAUUGACGCUGAUGGACGAAAGCGUGGGUAGCGAACAGG
rnacentral:rRNA from 1 species